rnacentral:rRNA from 1 species
UACGUAGGGUGCAAGCGUUGUCCGGAAUUAUUGGGCGUAAAGAGCGUGUAGGCGGCCCGAUUAGUCCGCUGUGAAAGUCCAGGGCUCAACCCCUGGAAUGCCGGUGGAUACUGUCGGGCUAGAGUCCGGAAGGGGCGAGUGGAAUUCCUGGUGGUAGCGGUGAAAUGCGCAGAUAUCAGGAGGAACACCAAUGGCGAAGGCAGCUCGCUGGGACGUGACUGACGCUGAGACGCGAAAGCGUGGGGAGCAAACAGG